rnacentral:rRNA from 1 species
GCAGUCGUGCGAGAAAGUAUCUUCGGAUAUGAGUAGAGCGGCGGACGGGUGAGUAACGCGUAGGAAUCUACCUAGUAGAAGGGGAUAGCCCGGGGAAACCCGGAUUAAUACCGUAUACCUCCUUCGGGAGAAAGAAGGCCUCUCUUUGAAGCUUUCGCUACUAGAUGAGCCUGCGUAAGAUUAGCUUGUUGGUGAGGUAAAGGCUCACCAAGGCAACGAUCUUUAGCUGGUCUGAGAGGACGAUCAGCCACAUUGGGACUGAGACACGGCCCAGACUCCUACGGGAGGCAGCAGUGGGGAAUAUUGGACAAUGGGCGCAAGCCUGAUCCAGCCAUACCGCGUGUGUGAAGAAGGCCUUCGGGUUGUAAAGCACUUUAAGCAGGGAGAAAAAGUUAUAAGUUAAUACCUUAUAGCCUUGAUGUUACCUGCAGAAUAAGCACCGGCUAAUUCCGUGCCAGCAGCCGCGGUAAUACGGAAGGUGCAAGCGUUAAUCGGAAUUACUGGGCGUAAAGCGCGCGUAGGUGGUUUGUUAAGUUGGAUGUGAAAGCCCUGGGCUCAACCUAGGAACUGCAUCCAAAACUAACUCACUAGAGUACGAUAGAGGGAGGUAGAAUUCAUAGUGUAGCGGUGGAAUGCGUAGAUAUUAUGAAGAAUACCAGUGGCGAAGGCGGCCUCCUGGAUCUGUACUGACACUGAGGUGCGAAAGCGUGGGUAGCGAACAGGAUUAGAUACCCUGGUAGUCCACGCCGUAAACGAUGACAACUAGCUGUUGGGAGACAAAGUCUUUCAGUGGCGCAGCUAACGCUUUAAGUUGUCCGCCUGGGGAGUACGGCCGCAAGGCUAAAACUCAAAUGAAUUGACGGGGACCCGCACAAGCGGUGGAGCAUGUGGUUUAAUUCGAUGCAACGCGAAAAACCUUACCUACUCUUGACAUACUUGGGAGCUCUUGUAAUGAGAGUGUGCCUUAUGGAACCAAGAUACAGGUGCUACAUGGCUGUCGUCAGCUCGUGUCGUGAGAUGUUCCGUUAAGUCGGAUAACGAGCGCAACCCUUACCCUUAUUUGC